GUGAACGCUGGCGGUAGGCCUAACACAUGCAAGUCGAACGGCAGCACAGUAAGAGCUUGCUCUUACGGGUGGCGAGUGGCGGACGGGUGAGGAAUACAUCGGAAUCUACUUUUUCGUGGGGGAUAACGUAGGGAAACUUACGCUAAUACCGCAUACGACCUACGGGUGAAAGCAGGGGAUCUUCGGACCUUGCGCGAUUGAAUGAGCCGAUGUCGGAUUAGCUAGUUGGCGGGGUAAAGGCCCACCAAGGCGCCGAUCCGUAGCUGGUCUGAGGGGAUGAUCAGCCACACUGGAACUGAGACACGGUCCAGACCCCUACGGGAGGCAGCAGUGGGGAAUAUUGGACAAUGGGCGCAAGCCUGAUCCAGCCAUACCGCGUAGGUGAAGAAGGCCUUCGGGUUGUAAAGCCCUUUUGUUGGGAAAGAAAAGCAGCAGGUUAAUACCCCGCUGUUCUGACGGUACCCAAAGAAUAAGCACCGGCUAACUUCGU
rnacentral:rRNA from 1 species